rnacentral:rRNA from 1 species
UACAGAGGGGGGCAAGCGUUGUUCGGAAUUACUGGGCGUAAAGGGCGCGUAGGCGGCCUUCUAAGUCGAACGUGAAAUCCCCGGGCUCAACCCGGGAACUGCGUCCGAUACUGGGAGGCUUGAAUCCGGGAGAGGGAUGUGGAAUUCCAGGUGUAGCGGUGAAAUGCGUAGAUAUCUGGAGGAACACCGGUGGCGAAGGCGGCAUCCUGGACCGGUAUUGACGCUGAGGCGCGAAAGCUAGGGGGAGCAAACGGGG